UACGUAGGGGGCAAGCGUUGUCCGGAUUCAUUGGGCGUAAAGAGCUCGUAGGCGGCUUAGCAAGUCGGGUGUAAAACCUCCAGGCUUAACCUGGAGAGGCCACCCGAUACUGCUAUGGCUAGAGUCCGGUAGGGGACCACGGAAUUCCUGGUGUAGCGGUGAAAUGCGCAGAUAUCAGGAGGAACACCGGUGGCGAAGGUGGUGGUCUGGGCCGGUACUGACGCUGAGGAGCGAAAGCGUGGGGAGCGAACAGG
rnacentral:rRNA from 1 species